rnacentral:rRNA from 1 species
CCUACGGGUGGCAGCAGUGAGGAAUAUUGGUCAAUGGGCGGAAGCCUGAACCAGCCAAGUCGCGUGAGGGAUUAAGGCCCUAUGGGUCGUAAACCUCUUUUGUCAGGGAGCAAGAUCUUCCACGUGUGGGCGUAUGGAUGGUACCUGAAGACAAAGCAUCGGCUAACUCGGUGCCAGCAGCCGCGGUAAUCCGGAGGAUCCGAGCGUUAUCCGGAUUUAUGGGGUUUAAGGGGUGCUUAGUCGGGAGCUUAAGCCAGCGGUAAAAUUGCGGUGCUCACCGCGGUAGAGCCGUUGAAACUGGGGGUCUUGAGUGAGCGAGAAGUAUGCGGAAUGCGUGGUGUAGCGGUGAAAUGCAUAAAUAUCACGCAGAACCCCGAUUGCGAAGGCAGUAUACCGGAGCUCAACUGACGCUGAGGCACGAAAGUGUGGGUAUCGAACAGGAUUAGAUACCCUGGUAGUC